rnacentral:misc_RNA from 1 species
AAGUCGUAACAAGGUUUCCGUAGGUGAACCUGCGGAAGGAUCAUUAUUACGUAUCCACGUAUCAAACCAAAUCGUGAACUGUUUCCCGUCUGAUGAGGAUUUCUGCGAGUGUUUGAACAUUUAUUAAAUGCAUGGUGAGGACUCCUAGUCGCAAGACUGGUUUCUUCGAAAUGGCACUCGGUCCUGGUUGCCCUCUCGGGGCUUCAGCCAGCUCAUUAGAUGUGGUUGAAUUUCAAUCACUAUGCUAAAACUAUUAACCCCUUGUAAAACACUUGAACUAAAUUACGGAGACAAGACCCUUAACCAGGAAACUAUCUCUGAUAAAUCGAAACUUAAGAAACAACUCUUAACAACGGAUAUCUUGGUUCUC